rnacentral:rRNA from 1 species
AUGGAGAAAGAAUCGACCCAUGUUGACUGGGGAGGGGUUUUCUGGUUUAGCUGGUUUUCCUUCGUGAUUGGAGUUGGUACGGUUCCCCCCUUCUCCUUCGCAGCAUCGUUUUUUGCAUCUGUAAUCAUCAAUCUGGUUCCAGGCGUGCUCCUGCUCGCCCUCAUCAACGCGUUCAGGAGUUCCUACUGGGACGUCUACUCCCUCGAGCUCACCGGCAUCGACGGCCGUGGCCAGCCGGCGGGGCUCAGCGCCCUGGCGUUCAACGUGACCCUGCACGCGGAGAACAGGCGGACGAAGUGGGUGGGCAACAGCUUCAGCGAUGGGAAGGUGGUGGUGUCCUACGCGGGCGUCGCGGUAGCGGAGGGCCGCGUGCCGGGCUUCAGCGUCGGGGCGAAGAGCGCGGCGGAGGUGGAGGCGGUGGCGCUAGGCGGCAAAGCUGCAGGCGUGGCGGACGCCGUGAGGAGGCGCGUGGAGGCCGAGCUGCGCUGGGACUCCGCGGAAUUCGACGUGGAGGCCAAGCUGUUCCGCAGCGGCGUCGGCCAGCAAGGUGGCCCCGUCGUGCUGUGGUGCAAGGUUGCAUCGCGUGUACUGCAUCAGCCGUCACGGUGCAGGACCUUCACCGACUUCAUGACUAGGGCAGACCAGGAGUUUUGA